rnacentral:rRNA from 1 species
UGAGGAAUAUUGGUCAAUGGCCGAGAGGCUGAACCAGCCAAGUCGCGUGAGGGAUGAAGGUUCUAUGGAUCGUAAACCUCUUUUAUAAGGGAAUAAAGUGUGGGACGUGUCCUAUUUUGUAUGUACCUUAUGAAUAAGGAUCGGCUAACUCCGUGCCAGCAGCCGCGGUAAUACGGAGGAUCCGAGCGUUAUCCGGAUUUAUUGGGUUUAAAGGGUGCGUAGGCGGCCUUUUAAGUCAGCGGUGAAAGUCUGUGGCUCAACCAUAGAAUUGCCGUUGAAACUGGGGGGCUUGAGUAUGUUUGAGGCAGGCGGAAUGCGUGGUGUAGCGGUGAAAUGCAUAGAUAUCACGCAGAACCCCGAUUGCGAAGGCAGCCUGCCAAGCCAUUACUGACGCUGAUGC